GAAAAAAGUGAAAGAGGAGAAGGAAGAAAAAAAUUAAAAAAAAUAAGCAAGCAUGCUUGGAUCGAUUUAUUAUUUUCUUUUAUCUUUUGCCUCUCUCUCUCCCUCUCUCUCUCUCUC